UGACAAUAAAUCACAAUGCGGGACUAUACGUCUUGCAAUUGGAUUGAGAACAAUGUACAACUCUUAUCGAUAAGCCAUUGGAGGGCAAGUCUGGUGCCAGCAGCCGCGGUAAUUCCAGCUCCAAUAGCGUAUAUUAACGUUGUUGCAGUUAAAAAGCUCGUAGUUGAAGUGUGGGUGAUCGCUGUUGUGAGACUUCGGUCUCUCGACAGUAAGUCACCCCCUUCCAGUAUCCAGUAGUGGGUAUUCACUUACUUACUACUGUGUGUUGGUCCUUUACUGUGAGAAAAUUAGAGUGUUCAAAGCAGGCGUUUGCUUGAAUAGAUUAGCAUGGAAUAAUAAUUGAAGGCUUUCGUGUUCGAUUUGAUUGGUUUGUUCAUGGAAGCAAGGUUAAAAGGAACAGUUGGGGGUAUUCAUAUUCACUAGUUAGAGGUGAAAUUCUCGGAUUUAUGGAAGAUGAACAA
rnacentral:rRNA from 1 species